GGAGGGUUUUGUGGCAUGAUCGGUUCACACUUGUAAAGGACUUUCAGAUCCAUGGUGAAAUAAUGUGCAUCCUAUACACAUGCAUGUGCAUAGGCUUGCCGAAACCAGAAGCAGUGGUAGCUGCCAGUUCCCACACCUACAAGGAAAGAAAAGCUGCUGCAAAGGAAUAAGUAGAGGAAAAAGAGGGGCAAUUCAGCAAGUGAGACAGUAGCGGGAAACACAUAGCUGGGAAACCAGCCCUGUCGGCGGCACCACUCCUCGUUUGUAGUGAGGAGCAGCUUAGCUUGAGAGCACACAGCCUCACAGCAGCACUCGCUAUCCUCCAGCACAAAAGUCUUUGAUGAGCCCUGCUACAGGAGAUCCAGAUAAUACCAGUGAGAGGACUAUUGAGUGCAUGCCUUGUCUUCACCGGACCUGGAAACAGCAUCUAAUGAAGAUAAGACAACAACUCUGGCUGCACAUGCAGUGUCUCUUGGGAUACCUGACUUCCAGCCUGGAAGGAAAUCUACAGCCCUGCAUAUCACUUUGCAGAAGCUGAUGAUUUGUGCUCUUAUCUGUUAUCUCUCUUCAUCAUUUCCAGACGUAGUCAUACACAGGCAAUGUGAUUUAUAUAGUUCCGUGGAAGGCGUUAUAUAAAUU